GCAAAAGUAAAGAGCUAGUACCUGAGGAUCAAGAAUCGGAGUACUUGGAAUUCGACUCUCAAAAUAGUGAGUAACCUUACUAUCAUCUUAAUUAUCUAAAGUGGUUUUUAUCUGAUUUUGUGAAUUUCAUGCAAAAUGAAUUAAAUGAUUAAUUUUUCGGUUUUAUAAACCAAAUGUGAUUUAAUGAAAUGAUUUCAUAAAAUUGUUUUAAAAUUGAAUAAUGGCUUUGAAAAUAGAGUAAUUGGAGACCAUUUGAUGUAUUGUGAAUUUAUGGUUCUAAUUGAUUGACUUAUGACAAUAUUGGCAUGAAUGGCUGAAUUGAUAUUUGUGUUGAAAUGUAUAAACUGUUGUUUGCCUUGAUAGGCUGGAUAAUGAUAAAUUGUCAUGUCAUGCUGUUGAAUUUUUAUUGCAUUGGUGGGAUAUUGAUUAGCUUACUGCAAUGGGCGGGUUUCUGUGGACCAACCUAUUAGAGGGGCACGGUAAACCCCGUUAUAUCUUACCUCAAUAUGAGAGGCGCGGGUGGAUAACUCUUGAGGUUAACACUUUAGAGUUCACUUCAUGCGAAACCACCACGUGAGGGUGAACUCAGCCAACGCCAAGAAACGGCUAUGUUUUCAAAAUAAAAACAUGAUUUAUGCAUACAUAACUUUUUAACAGCCUUGACGGACUCGGUUGGGAUAGCCCUCGAUCAAGGCAUCCUUGAUAACUGGGUAUGAGAAUGGUUUUGGCACGAGCCAAAGUUUUAAGAAAUUCAUAAGCCAUGUUGAUUACUCGAUUUAUAUGAAUUGAUUUUAUUUGAUUGAAAUGAGUUGAAAGGUGAUGAAUUACAGUAUGUUAAUUAUUUUAUUUGUCUCCAUUUACUCGGCUUUAGAUAUUUUAAAUGGUAUUUGUUUACUCACUGGGAUUAUAUAAUCUCACCACCCUCAUUUCCAUCCAUUUCAGGCUCAGGAUAGUCUAUAGAUAGCUGAUUUUAUCAAGGACCACCAUUGGAUUUGCAUCCUCCAAAUUGUAGGUUCAUAAUUUUUCUUACUUUCGAUUGUUCGAGGGCCCACUUGUUACUAUCAAUUAAAUUAAAUACUCUGACUUACUGUAUU
rnacentral:lncRNA from 1 species